UCUUAGAGGGACUCAGAGCAGGAACUUGGAGCAGAGGCAGCUGCUGGUGUGUGAAAGGAGUGCUGUACAGCUUAUGUAAAGCCAGCUUCAAUUCCCGUGACCGGAGAUCAUCAUUGUAGCAGCCAAUCAGUAAUACCAGCCUCCUGUGGGGAUCCCACUGCUUCCAAUGGUGCAGGCUGACAGGCAUCUGACAGAGUAGAACAGAAAUGGGCUCUACUGACUAUGUGGCUGGGAACUAGGCCACGCAGCCUAGUUCCCAGCCACAUAGUGUCUUGCUGCAGCUGCAGACAGAGGACAGGACACAGCUGCAGUGCACAGGAGCUGGCUGGAUACACAUCACACGAUAUGUCACCGGAUCCCGUGGUCAGCGCGACAUAUCGUAUACAUCGUCUGGUGAUUGCACACUCCCAUCUGCUGACAUCGUGGUGGUAACAUCUGACAUUCAAUGUGACAACCCGGUGGCUGACAGCAUACUCCUGCACAAUAUAUUAUGCAGUCGCGCACUAUAUCAUCUUGUGUGUAUGGACAAGCGAUGUAUCGUUACAUUGGUCAUCCCAUUGGCCAUAAUCCAGGAUCGUCUGAUUUGUACCCAGCCUUAGUGUUGCUUCAGUACAGCCUUUUAAAAUGAUUUAAUUUCAGGAAAGUAUUUUACUCCGUAGAGUUUACAACUGAGCUUAUGAUAAAAUAAAAAGGAGCCAACACAGAGAUUUAAACCAAGUUUCCCAUCAAGUCUUUUCAUGUAAUUGUUUUACAGUGAUAGAACCUAAUUUGUGAGCCAAUUAAUUUGCAAACAAGCUGUUCCAAUGUUGCCUUGUAUUGCCGUCUGCCAAAGUAUGGCUACAAAGCCAGUGACAAAUUCUAAUAUGCUGGCUGUUAUCACAUGGGCACUUUAGUUUCAGCUAUACUCUAGAGGACAAACACUAUAAAUAUGUAACUGCUGUACCUUCAUAUCAUAUGAAACCAAAACUGCUGAUACUGUAUGAUAACAUUACAAGUUAUUUUGUAAUCUGUAUUUGCAUACAUUAUUUGCCAUUUGCUGUGAUUAAUUUAUGUUCCCAUAUCUCAA